AUACGGAGGGUCCGAGCGUUAAUCGGAAUUACUGGGCGUAAAGCGCGCGUAGGUGGUUCAGUCAGUCAGAUGUGAAAGCCCCGGGCUCAACCUGGGAACUGCACCUGAUACUGCUGAGCUAGAGUACGGUAGAGGGCAGUGGAAUUUCCGGUGUAGCGGUGAAAUGCGUAGAGAUCGGAAGGAACACCAGUGGCGAAGGCGACUGCCUGGACUGAUACUGACACUGAGGUGCUAAAGCGUGGGUAGCAAACAGGAUUAGAAACCCUGGUAGUCCACGCCGUAAACGAUGUCAACUAGCCGGUGGGGGACUUGAUCCUUUAGUGGCGAAGCUAACGCGAUAAGUUGACCGCCUGGGGAGUACGGCCGCAAGGUUAAAACUCAAAUGAAUUGACGGGG
rnacentral:rRNA from 1 species